GGAGAGGUGGCUGAGUGGCUGAAAGCGGCACCCUGCUAAGGUGUUAUACUCGUGAGGGUAUCGGGGGUUCGAAUCCCUUCCUCUCCGC
rnacentral:tRNA from 1 species